GACAGAGGCCUCAAGCGUUAGGCGGAAUCACUGGGCUUAAAGCGUGUGUAGGCGGAUCGUUAAGUGUCUUGUGAAAUCCCACGGCUCACCCGUGGAACUGCUGGGCAUACUGGCGAUCUUGGGCCAACUAGGGGCAGCCGGAACAAGCGGUGGAGCGGUGAAAUGCGUAGAUAUCGCUUGGAACGCCGAAGGUGAAAACAGGCUGCUGGGGUUGUGCCGACGCUGA
rnacentral:rRNA from 1 species